rfam:Triticum aestivum genome assembly, contig: Triticum_aestivum_CS42_TGACv1_scaffold_221387_3B
AUUGUACUCCCUUCGUCCGAAAAUACUUGUAGAAGAGAUGAAUGUAUCUAGACGUAUUUUAGUUCUACAUACAUCUAUUUUUACCCAUUUUCACGACAAGUAUUUCCGGACGGAGGGAGUAGUAU